AACGAACGCUGGCGGCGCGCCUUAAGCAUGCAAGUCGAACGGCAAGAGAGGAGCUUGCUUCUCUCCUAGAGUGGCGGACUGGUGAGGAACACGUGGGUAAUCUACCCUUAAGAUUGGGAUAGCUGCUAGAAACAGCAGGUAAUACCGAAUACACGCGGCAUAUGCAAAGAGGGGUUGAGGAAAGGAAGGUACGGCUUCGCGUGAGGGUGAGCUUGCAUCCCAUUGGCUAGUUGGUGAGGUAAAGGCCCACCAAGGCGUCGACGGGUAUCCGGGCUGAGAGGGUGGACGGACACAUUGGGACUGAGACGCGGCCCAAGCUCCUACGGGAGGCAGCAGCUAAGAAUAUUCCGCAAUGGACGGGAGUCUGACGGAACGGCGCCGCGUGGAUGAAGAAGGCUGAACAGUUGUAAAAUCCUUUUGUUGAUGGAGAAUAAGUGUGGGAUGGAAUGCUCAGCUAGUGACGGUAAUCGACGAAUAAGCCCCGGCUAACUACGUG
rnacentral:rRNA from 1 species